rnacentral:lncRNA from 1 species
UUCACUCUUAUUCCACCUGGCCUCUCCACCCACACUCCCAGUUUUCCACUGUUAAGAAAAGCGCAUCAGAGGAGUCUGGUGGAUUUUGGAGAAGAGCAGCCUCCUGCCUCCCGGAAGUCUGACGGAGCCCAGUUCCCGGACUGUGCGGCCGCGGGCCCGGGGGAGCGCCCCCCGCGUCCCGAGGGCCACGGUCCCCGCUCCCCGAUGUCCCCGGCGCCGCCGCCG